AUGAAAAAUAAAAGAGCUGGAUCAGAGUGGGAAAUUUCACCAAUAAAGACAUGAGAAAAAGAAAGACCCUGUCCACAACAUCCAUUCAUCCUUCAAAUGUUAUUUCAGCUUCAUUUUGAGGACAUAAACAACAUCUAGUUGUUUUUUUUUUUCCUGUCUCUUUAGCAAAGGAGUAAAAUCCAUCUAGCAAAUAAGUGAGAUUUCUGUGCAGAACAUGAACCCAGUCACAAAGAUUUUGUAGAAGAUGGUGAAAAUCACCGUUAUCUUUAUACUUUUGGCUGUGCCAUCAAAUGCCUAUUUUGAAUGUAAAUACCACUGCAAAUGAAGGCUCUGAAACUGAAGGUGUAUUUAUGUUUGGCCAAUAGGUCCAAAAUUAUGUUGGUGAGAUCAGACAGAAAGAUGGAGAGGCAGCCAGCCUCCUGUGGCCCAUGAGGUUAAGGAUGGAGCUGGAAACAGAAAGGAACGGGAAAUGGAGGCAGUUGGGAGUUCCAGCAAUAGAAAGCCUCCAGCCGAGCAGCAGGAAGGAAAGGAAGAGCUGGGGCUCAGUCACUCAAACAGACCCAUGUGCCCAGGUUGUUUCUCUCAAAACCUCACUGCCUGUUAUGCCACUGCUGAGAUCAUGUAAGUCCACGUGCCUUUGCCCACCUCAGAAUUCAUUUUUCUACCAAGACCAAACCUGGGGAAAAAUAUCUUGCGUUGUUUUUGUUGAUCUUUUAAAUCAUUUAGUUGCCAGAAAAGCUCACCUGCGCCAAACUAAUUGCAUAAUAUCACAUCCAUAGCAGAGCAAGUCCCCAGAGCAGGUUGACAUCAUUAAAGUAAUGAUACUUUCAUAACAAGUACACAUGUGCAGAAAGAACUGUCAGUGCUGCUGACUUGGGAAUUUACUUCAAGUCUGGCAAAGUGAAGUCUUGUUCUUAAAGCCCCAGCUCCUAGAUGGCAUCACUGUGAUCCAACACCUGAGGUUUUCCUCUUCUGCUGCUUUCUUUCAGUAUUUUUUCUGGCUUUCCUGACUCUGGAAAAGCCUGCAGUAUGAAGUGAAUGUAUCUUGCAGACUUAAACACCAAGCAAAUAUGUAUUUAUUCUGUGCCUUUAAGCCUAUCUUACAGACGAUCAAGACCUUAGACUAACCACUCAGCUCACUAAUAUUGAGUGACUAAUCCUCCCCCAAAGUGUAAGAUGGGUAAGAAAGCCAAGAGAGUGUUAUUUUUAAUUUUACAGCUAGAGAAUUAGUUCAAUUACUUAUGCCUGAUCCAGAGCCUACCAAUGUCAGCUGAUUGCUUGAGGUCACAGAGCUAAGCACACCUUUUCUAAAUCCCUGAUGCUGCUUUGAGCACAAGGCAUCUUUUCUUACUAAAUAUCAAAACUAUGUAGAUAUCACUAUGCAGAAUUUACAGAAUUUCUACUAAUCUGAACAGGACUCACAUACAUAUGCAAGCGUGUCAUAGAAGCUAACUCUGUAGAAGCAUUGCCUGGUAUUUAACCAGUUCUUUAAUCAUCUAAUCUCUCUGCAGGAGUUUUAUUAGGUGGAGAAAGAAAGGGGUUUUCUCUCUGCUGUUAUAAGUGGUUCCCUUCAGAUUUAUUGAAUCAUUAAUGUUGGGAAAGUCUUUUAAGAUCAUUCAGUCCAACCCCUAUCUCAUCCCUCUCAUGCCCACUAACCAUAUCCCUCCAUCACACCUCCAUAGUUCUUGAACAUCUCCAGGGACAGUGACACCACCACCUCCCUGGGCAGCCUGUUCCAAAGCACUACUGUUCUUUCUGAGAGGAAAUGUUUCCUAGUAUCCAACCUGAAUCUCCCCUGGCGCAACUUAAAGCCAUUAAGCCACAGAAGCAUCAUGAAUCUGAGCAUACUACAAAUAUACUUGCUAAAUCAUAAUACUUGAAACUACUAAGAAAAUGCAAUAAGAAUGUAAAUACAUACAUUUCUAAAUAUAUGGUUCCUGUUCUUUCAUAUUAUAAAUCCUGAGAAUAAUUAAUUAUAUGCAACCUCAAGACAUGAAGCUAAUAAUAAUCUUACAAACAGAAUCUAGGUGUAAGCAUCAUGUUAAGUCUGUAUCAAUGUUAUAUUUAAUUAAGCAGAUUAUGCAUCAUACAGUAUAAUGGUCUCUUGAUUGCUCUGAUAACCAGCUGAAAUGAGGUUCACCAAUACUAACAAGUAUUCACUGAAAUAAGGAACUGAACUUCUGUGCUUUCAAGGUUGCCUCAGGAAGGAUUUAUUAUAGUGAAUUAAGGGAUUUAGACACACAGGUGAAUCAGUGUUUGAAAUGCAAAUUCUUUAGGCAGUCUUGGAAAUCUCUGCCUUGCAGUGUAUUUGUACCAGCUCCCUGGUUCUGUGCCUAAGUAAAUACAUAAGAUCCAUGCCCAGAAGAAUGGCCACAGCCGUGUAAAUUGAACGUAACUUCCUGAGCAUAUGCUUUCAGCUAAUGGUUGCUGUUGCUCUUCAGCAAGCAUUUUACCUCUACAAAGAGAGCAAUUCAGAAUCACCACUCGUAACUCUUUUGCCACUGCUAUAGAAACUACAUCUGUGAUCUGAAGAAAUUCCAAAUAAAAAUUAAAACAUAAGUCUGUGUAUUGUCCCAGAAGACUGCAGUUCUUCUGUGCAUCAUGGAAGGAUUCCAGAAAUGUCACUCUUGUUUCUGUUAAUAUAUUUCUUUUAAUAAGCCUGUAGGAAAGCUUAAGAUAAGACAUAUGCUCGGUCUUUUGUUGGAUUGAAGACUUAUUCAGUACAGUGUGCAGAUAGCUCUUUUUAAUAACUGCAUAAUAUUGCUCAGUAAAUUAAAUAAUACAAACCUACCACUAGAAAUUCUAUCAAUAGUCAUCACAUCUGUAUGAUCAUUUUGUACAUGUUUCCCCUUUGGCGAGAUUCAGAAAGUCUCAAAAAACACUUGGCCUUUUAAGAAUGAGCAGAGGAGAGAUUUAAGGAGGCACACAUUGCAAAAGCACCCCUUAAAUGAUCAGGAACACUAGAAAUGUGGUAGUAUUCCAGCCUGCAUGUUUCAAAGCCCUUCAAUUGAACAUUAGAAGCAAACUUAUCCACCAGUUCCAGCUGUUGCCAGUGAGGAUAUGGGAUUUAUUUUUUUCUUUUAGCAAAACAGUGAGUCUCAAAACUCUACUGUGUUACUGAGGUUCCUACAAUCUGAAUAGCUUAGAAUUCCCAAUUUCACAGCACGAGAGGCCAGCUCAUACGUUAAGCACAAUGAAUCAUGAAAACUGUGGUGUAAAUAUGAGAUGUUCUCAGUCGCUGCUUACUGCAAUGUAAAGUUACUUCCAACCCAGUUCUCUCAUUCUACUUACGCAACGUGACUGUUGUUUAUAUCUUUUGAUUCACAUCAUUAAUAAAACACAUCUCUGCCUCUCUUAGAUAAGUACUUUUGUUUGCAAACAAAAAAAAUUAAAAAAUGCCAGGCUCCUGUCCAGUUCACUGUAUAGGGUACAGCUGAGUAUGUUUAGAUACCAACAAGAAUCCAGGGCACUGCAGAGAUGCUUAGCUUUGAAAAUGUAUUAAAGCUGAAUAUCUAUUCUGAAGCAGAGGUAUCAUGCUCUGAAAUCAUCACCGUAACCUAAAUAUCUAAAGACAAGAAAAGGACCUAUUUUGAGUCCAAAGUGCAGUCAGGAGGUCUAAAAGAAAUCUGUGUUGGUUCAUUUGUAAAGAUCUUGGAAGAAAGCAGAUGAGGAUUGUGAAUGAGCAGAAGCUGUGAGUAUCUCUCCGAGAGACGAAUAAAAGUUAUUGUAUUACAGAAGAUCACAGCAGAGUCUAAACAGAAACCUGGCAGUGCCACCAUGUGUACUACGCAGAUCCCCAACA